UUAUAAUUGAAGUCUCAGCCAGUGGAUUUAUGAUUCUGAUAUCGGAUGCUCCUCAUGCUAAAAACCAUGAACAGUCUGGAUCCAGAAAUCAAGCAAUUGAAGCGAUCUCCUGCAGUACAUCUAGAACUUGUGAUAAGGAUAGUAGAUGAAACUCAGCCAGAGGCUGUGGCACAUUAAUUCUCGCCUGCAUAUUUAAUUUGUCGUCAUCUACUGCAUAGGGACUCAAUCAUGUAGCAGCAGAUGGCUUUACUUACUGCUUGUGCUACUCAGUGAUAUCAUGAAAGCCAAUACAAACGUCAGUCUGUAUUUCUAAAAUUCUGAAGUGGGAUAUCAGUGCUCCAAAGGGGAGAAAUGCAGUCCAAUAUUUCUUUUUUCAGGCUCUAGUAGUCCAGCAGCUUGCUCAUUCCUAUUUAAAAAAAAAAACACUAUGGCAUGGACUGCUUUUCUUCAUUUAAAAAUUAAAAGCCGUUGUAUAGAGUUUUGCCAUCAACUAGCAGGAAUCUAGAUAAACUCCACAAUCUUUUCUGUUAACUAACUUUUACAGAGCAGUAUUUACCAACCUUUUUGAAUGGAUUCUCUUUUUUUAAAGAAACAUGAACAAAUGAGUUUGAAUUAUUAGUCUUUUUUUAAACUCUCUGAUCUAACCCACAAUUUUAUACCUGCGUACCUGAUUAUUUUUCUUUUGUAAAAGGGUGUCUGUUCCCAUUUCGAAAAGCCAAGCCAUGUAGACCUUGAUAUUUGGAGCCAGACAUGUGUAUUUACCACCAGAGAUCUUGGAGAACACAUUUGUCCCUUUGUAAACUACUAUAAUUUCAAUUGCAUAGGGGGCACUGAACAUGUUGGACAUCUGAUAACACCGUUCCAAAACGGCAGCACAGCCAUCUCCACCAGUAACACUAGGAAAUAAUCAUGUGCAGACUGAGAGAUGGUGAUUUCAGGAAGCUAAUAGGCCUUGGGGCUGAGGAAUUUGAAGGAAGAGAGGGCAGAGGACCAACCAUAUCAGGGAGGUUGUAAGGCGCUACAUGGAAAAAGACAC